GACAGAGGGGGCAAGCGUUGCUCGGAAUUACUGGGCGUAAAGGGCGCGUAGGCGGGAUGGCAAGUCGGUCGUGAAAUCCCUCGGCUCAACCGAGGAACGUCGAUCGAUACUGCUGUUCUUGAGGAUUGCAGAGGAGACUGGAAUUCCCGGUGUAGCGGUGAAAUGUGUAGAGAUCGGGAGGAACACCGGUGGCGAAGGCGGGUCUCUGGACCUCUUCUGACGCUGAGGCGCGAAAGCCAGGGGAGCGAACGGG
rnacentral:rRNA from 1 species